CUCAGAGUUGCCAACUUUGAGUUGGUCAAAAGUUAUACUAUUAGUUUUCGUUGAAAGUUAUUGGGGAAGUUAGUAGGGAUAAAUAGUUAUUUAUGGAGUAAAUAAUUUUGUAUUUUUAAGAGGGUGUAGGAUUUUGGAGCAACUUUGUUGAAAUUGACGUUAUUAUUAUUAGGGAAAUUCUACACUACACCCCUCAGGUGUUGGCUUUUCCAAGCUGUGCCCCUCACUUUGAAAAGUUCCACGCUGUAACCUGUAGGUCCCACAAGUGAUUACGCUGUAACAUUACUUAGUCACCAUAAAUGAUGGACGUCAGAGAUAGUUAAUGCCGUCACCUAACUUUUGUACUUUCCCUCUAUUUUCAUUUAAUUCCCUCCCAUUUUGUUUCAUUCAUUCAUUCUGAUCAAAAAAAAAAAAACCCUAAAUUCGAAAAUUCGAAGAGUGAUUUGCGAACUGGAGAAACUUUGCUGGGUAAAUUCGAAGAGCGAUUUUGAAGUGGGUGAAGUUUCUGGUGAUUUCUGCGUAAAAGGACUUCGAAGAUGGAUGAGAGAAUUCUAAAAAUCCAUUAUGGUGCUAAUUGUGUUCGUGUAAAGGUUGAUGAUAUAGAUAGAUGUUUGUUAAUUGAUGUGAUUAAUGAGAUGUGUGAGGAGUUUAAAAAGAGUAAAUUUGAGUUGCCAACAUACCCUGGGUUGCACUAUGUGGAAAACAGAGUUGAAGAAGGGUUAUUUAAGGAGGAAGGGUUAUUUAAGUUGCCAAAAAAAAUUUACUCUUUGAAGAAGGGUUAUUUAAGGAGGAAGGUGGAGUACUCUGUUUGUGGAGGGUAAUUUUCCCACCAAAAUUAACCCCUUCCAACGUUAUUUUGUUGGAAAGGGAAAACUAACGGAAAGUUGUAACGGAGAGAUAACGGCAAGGGUACAGCGUAAUCACUUGUGUGACCUACAGGUUACAGCGUGGAACUUUUCAAAGUGAGGGGCACAGCUUGGAAAAGCCAACACCUGAGGGGUAUAGUAUAGAAUUUCCCUUAUUAUUAAUACUCCUUAUUUGUUUGAGCACGAGGGGGACAACACUGGUCAAAGGUUUUCUUGAUCAGCAAUUCAACAUAUACAAGUAUAAACUUUUUUGUUUCUACUACUCCGUACUUUUUUAAAGCAACUCCAAUGGUAAGUUAAUUGUGAAAUUAGCUUGCCAUGCCACCUAGGAUUGCAAAGCUAAUCUACCUUGUAGCUAAUUAAUCCCACAAUAGUUAAGCUCAUUUUUAAUAAUUUUUUUUAUGUAUUUAAUUUUUUUUAAUUCCCACAAUUUGCUAAGCUAAUUAGCUUAGCUAAGCGAAUAGCUUUGCCCAACUAAUUUGGUAAUGCAAUUCCAAUGAUUAAGCUAAUUAUUUAUUAGUUUCAUAAAUUGCAAGCUAGUCCUAAUUUUACAGCUCACAGCUCGGAUCGAAGUGGACCUGUAAGAGAUUCUAAUCCGAUAGGACCUUUCUCCUUGACCCAAAAAAAAAAAAAAAAAUAGUAAGACUUUGACUACUUU